CUCAGCAUCGCGAGAGCUCCGGCGAGACCGCCGGGGAGAGUCGCGCGCAGGCGCGGCCUCGCGCUCUUUCCGCGGUCAGCCGCGUGUCUGGAAGGCCUGGUGGCUCGGGUGGGCUGUGCUCCGUUGAGCAGCCCCGGGCUUUAGCUGAUGGGCUUUCUGGCAUUUGCAGAGAUGAGAAGCAGGGCUGCAGAUGGCAGUUUAAAAGUAACGGAUGGAACCCCAAAAUGAGUAAAGAUGGAUGCAAGCAGGUCUGGGUGGUUACCAGGAAUGAGAAAGCAGAGUGGCAUAAUGUCCGGUCACAUCCACCUCAUGGCGCUGUUCAGAAGUUAAGUUGAACUAUCAAAGGUAUUGGCUAUGGACUUAGAAGAAAGUCAUGUGAAACCCAUCAUCUUAAAGUAUUGCACUUGAGGAUCUUUGUGAUGAAAUUUCUGUAAAUGGUGCAGUCUCAGCCUCAGUUUCUGAACCUGGGAAAGGAUCCUCUAGCACAUUGUGGCAGCCACCAUGGACCUGAACCCCAAGUGAAAUGUCUCUCAUGUAAGCAGAGAAGUCCUUCUGGACAGGCUUGGGUGAGGGGUGUCUACUGAGUGAGGCAACUGUAAACUGCUUUGCCAAAAGGCAAG